AGUGAACGCUGGCGGUAGGCCUAACACAUGCAAGUCGAACGGCAGCACAGUAAGAGCUUGCUCUUACGGGUGGCGAGUGGCGGACGGGUGAGGAAUACAUCGGAAUCUACUUUUUCGUGGGGGAUAACGUAGGGAAACUUACGCUAAUACCGCAUACGACCUACGGGUGAAAGCAGGGGAUCUUCGGACCUUGCGCGAUUGAAUGAGCCGAUGUCGGAUUAGCUAGUUGGCGGGGUAAAGGCCCACCAAGGCGACGAUCCGUAGCUGGUCUGAGAGGAUGAUCAGCCACACUGGAACUGAGACACGGUCCAGACUCCUACGGGAGGCAGCAGUGGGGAAUAUUGGACAAUGGGCGCAAGCCUGAUCCAGCCAUACCGCGUGGGUGAAGAAGGCCUUCGGGUUGUAAAGCCCUUUUGUUGGGAAAGAAAAGCAGCAGGUUAAUACCCCGCUGUUCUGACGGUACCCAGAGAAUAAGCACCGGCUAACUUCGCG
rnacentral:rRNA from 1 species